rnacentral:rRNA from 1 species
CCUGCAGUCGACGGCAGCAUGACGUGUAGCAAUACACGUUGAUGGCGAGUGGCGAACGGGUGAGUAAUAUAUCGGAACGUGCCCUGUAGCGGGGGAUAGCCCGGCGAAAGCCGGAUUAAUACCGCAUACGCUCUACGGAGGAAAGCGGGGGUCGCAAGACCUCGCACUAUAGGAGCGGCCGAUAUCGGAUUAGCUAGUUGGCGGGGUAAAAGCCCACCAAGGCGACGAUCCGUAGCUGGUCUGAGAGGAUGAUCAGCCACGCUGGAACUGAGACACGGUCCAGACUCCUACGGGAGGCAGCAGUGGGGAAUUUUGGACAAUGGGCGCAAGCCUGAUCCAGCCAUGCCGCGUGAGUGAAGAAGGCCUUCGGGUUGUAAAGCUCUUUCGGCAGGAACGAAAUGGUUCGUGCUAAUACCACGGACUGAUGACGGUACCUGAAGAAGAAGCACCGGCUAACUACGUGCCAGCAGCCGCGGUAAUACGUAGGGUGCAGGCGUUAAUCGGAAUUACUGGGCGUAAAGCGUGCGCAGGCGGUUUCUUAAGUCAGAUGUGAAAGCCCCGGGCUUAACCUGGGAACUGCGUUUGAAACUGGGAGACUUGAGUGUGGCAGAGGGGGGUGGAAUUCCACGUGUAGCAGUGAAAUGCGUAGAUAUGUGGAGGAACACCGAUGGCGAAGGCAGCCCCCUGGGUUAACACUGACGCUCAUGCACGAAAGCGUGGGGAGCAAACAGGAUUAGAUACCCUGGUAGUCCACGCCCUAAACUAUGUCAACUGGUUGUCGGGGGAUUAACUCCCUUGGUAACGAAGCUAACGCGUGAAGUUGACCGCCUGGGGAGUACGGUCGCAAGAUU